UGCGUAACGCGUAUGCAACCUACCUUUUACAGGGGAAUAGCCCAGAGAAAUUUGGAUUAAUGCCCCAUAGUGACCCUUGGUCGAUUGGCCUGGGGGUCUAAAGAUUUAUCGGUAAAAGAUGGGCAUGCGUUCUAUUAGCUAGAUGGUGUGGUAACGGCACACCAUGGCUACGAUAGAUAGGGGCCCUGAGAGGGGGAUCCCCCACACUGGUACUGAGACACGGACCAGACUCCUACGGGAGGCAGCAGUGAGGAAUAUUGGACAAUGGAGGCAACUCUGAUCCAGCCAUGCCGCGUGCAGGAAGACGGCCCUAUGGGUUGUAAACUGCUUUUAUACGGGAAGAAACCCGCCCACGUGUGGGCGGCUGACGGUACCGUAAGAAUAAGGAUCGGCUAACUCCGUGCCAGCAGCCGCGGUAAUACGGAGGAUCCAAGCGUUAUCCGGAAUCAUUGGGUUUAAAGGGUCCGUAGGUGGAUUGUUAAGUCAGGGGUGAAAGUCUGCGGCUCAACCGUAGAAUUGCCCUUGAUACUGGCGAUCUUGAGUUAUUGUGAAGUAGCUAGAAUAUGUAGUGUAGCGGUGAAAUGCAUAGAUAUUACAUAGAAUACCGAUUGCGAAGGCAGGUUACUAACAAUGUACUGACACUGAUGGACGAAAGCGUGGGUAGCGAACAGGAUUAGAUACCCUGGUAGUCCACGCCGUAAACGAUGGUCACUAGCUGUCCGGACUUAGGUCUGGGUGGCUAAGCGAAAGUGAUAAGUGACCCACCUGGGGAGUACGUUCGCAAGAAUGAAACUCAAAGGAAUUGACGGGGGGCCGCACAAGCGGUGGAGCAUGUGGUUUAAUUCGAUGAUACGCGAGGAACCUUACCAGGGCUUAAAUGUAAGUUGCAUUAGCUAGAGAUAGCUAUUUCUUCGGACCACUUACAAGGUGCUGCAUGGUUGUCGUCAGCUCGUGCCGUGAGGUGUCAGGUUAAGUCCUAUAACGAGCGCAACCCCUGUUGUUAGUUGCCAGCGAGUAAUGUCGGGAACUCUAGCAAGACUGCCGGUGCAAACCGCGAGGAAGGUGGGGAUGACGUCAAAUCAUCACGGCCCUUACGUCCUGGGCUACACACGUGCUACAAUGGUAGGGACAGAGAGCAGCCACUGGGCGACCAGGAGCGAAUCUAUAAACCCUAUCACAGUUCGGAUCGGAGUCUGCAACUCGACUCCGUGAAGCU
rnacentral:rRNA from 1 species